AAAAGCAAUUUGCUAUAAGUACUUAUGUAAUCACUUAAACCUUAAUUGUUACUUUCUGAAUUAUUUACAGUUACUUACUUCCUCAGUUCCAGUGAGUUUGAAUAAAAAUACAUAUUUUUGAAUAGAAAUAAAAAUCAUUAUGUAGUACAUUUCAAGUAUGGGAUAAGUUUAAGUACAGACACUGUAACAGAACAACCGAUCUUCAACAUCACAGCCUCCUUUGGCUUCUUGUUGAAGCACAUGGCUCUGUGGUGUUCAGGCCUUCCUGAGUACAUGAAGAGAAGUUGUAUUACAGGAGACAGUCCUGCUGUGGCAUGUGCAUACGUUUUGCAUUCCACUCAAGUAAUUCACUGUUUUUAACUAUUCUUUGAUAGACUCAGUGGCUCCCAGGUCAGAGUGCUGCCAUCGCACACCAUCAGAGUUUUAAAUAGAUCCCAAAGUGCAAUCGCUGUGUGUGUGUACUGGAGCCUGUGUUCUGCCUCCCAGGAAGUAACAGAUGACCAGAGACACCAAAUCCCUUUACUUCACUGAUCUGUCUUACACCAUCUACAUGUUGAGAAAAUCAAAACAGAAUGGCUGGAUGGAAGAAAAGCAAACCAAGAUUUUUCUGGAUUUUAUUUUGCUCUAAUUUUUGGAAAAGGAGGUUUGCUGCUCCACUUGCAAAGCCUGAUUACCAGGAUAGAAAUAGAGAACCCAUUUUCUUGUUUUGGACUACCCAACACAAGACUUCUGUUUCCUGUCUUCUGGUCCCUGGCCACCCUUGGGGCGCUGUCACCCCCAUGCAGCGAGCAGACAGAACUCCUCAGGCGCUGUCCUGA
rnacentral:lncRNA from 1 species